GGGAAAGUUAAUAUACACAUGCAUUGUUCAGAAGCAGCUUUACAGUUUGUUGACAACUUUAGUACUGAAAUAUACCUUUAACUAGCAACUUACAUCUACGAAGUUUUGUUUCCUCAAUUUACAAAUGACAAUAGUUCUUUCAAUUGCCACAGUCUUGCUUCCUCUUUGCUUGGCUGCAGCACGGCAUCUAUGUUCUGAACGAAUUUAAAUGCUAUAGCUAUCAGCUCCUAACUUUUUUGAUUCUAGUAUCAGCAAUUUC
rnacentral:misc_RNA from 1 species